rnacentral:lncRNA from 1 species
UCACUUCUCCUUGGAACCCAUGACAUGCAGUGGGAUCUCCUCCACAACAUGCUCCACAAAGUUCUCGUAGUAUGGCUUCAAGCGAUGUCCAUUCACUUUGAAUUCUUGCCCGGUUCUCAAGCUCUUAAUUUGGACUGCACCAUGCACAAAAAGAUUAGUAACAACAAACGGGCCAACCCAUUUGGAACGUAACUUACCAGGGAAUAGACGAAGGCGGGAGUUGAACAACAACACUUUCUGCCCAAUUUCGAAAGUCUUGCCUCGAAGCAUCUUAUCAUGGAAUGCUGUGGUCUUCUCUUUGUAAAUUCUAGCAUUCUCAUAAGCUUCAUGCCUUAUCUCAUCAAGUUCACUCAAUUGAAGC